UACGUAGGCAGCGAGCGUUGUUCGGAGUUACUGGGCGUAAAGAGUGCGUAGGCGGUGCUCCAAGUCUGGUGUGAAAUCUCCCGGCUUAACCGGGAGGGUGCGCCGGAAACUGGGGUGCUGGAGUGUGGGAGAGGUAAGCGGAAUUCCCGGUGUAGCGGUGAAAUGCGUAGAUAUCAGGAGGAACACCGGUGGCGAAGGCGGGUCUCUGGGCCGAUACUGACGCUGAGGAGCGAAAGCGUGGGGAGCGAACAGG
rnacentral:rRNA from 1 species